GAGCACUGUUUCGGCUAGGGGGUCAUCCCGACUUACCAACCCGAUGCAAACUACGAAUACCGAAGAAUGUUAUCACGGGAGACACACGGCGGGUGCUAACGUCCGUCGUGAAGAGGGAAACAACCCAGACCGCCAGCUAAGGUCCCAAAGUCAUGGUUAAGUGGGAAACGAUGUGGGAAGGCACAGACAGCCAGGAUGUUGGCUUAGAAGCAGCCAUCAUUUAAAGAAAGCGUAAUAGCUCACUGGUCGAGUCGGCCUGCGCGGAAGAUGUAACGGGGCUAAACCAUGCACCGAAGCUGCGGCAGCGACACUAUGUGUUGUUGGGUAGGGGAGCGUUCUGUAAGCCUGCGAAGGUGUGCUGUGAGGCAUGCUGGAGGUAUCAGAAGUGCGAAUGCUGACAUAAGUAACGAUAAAGCGGGUGAAAAGCCCGCUCGCCGGAAGACCAAGGGUUCCUGUCCAACGUUAAUCGGGGCAGGGUGAGUCGACCCCUAAGGCGAGGCCGAAAGGCGUAGUCGAUGGGAAACAGGUUAAUAUUCCUGUACUUGGUGUUACUGCGAAGGGGGGACGGAGAAGGCUAUGUUAGCCGGGCGACGGUUGUCCCGGUUUAAGCAUGUAGGCUGGUUAUCCAGGCAAAUCCGGAUAAUCAAGGCUGAGGUGUGAUGACGAGGCACUACGGUGCUGAAGUAACAAAUGCCCUGCUUCCAGGAAAAGCCUCUAAGCAUCAGGUAACAUCAAAUCGUACCCCAAACCGACACAGGUGGUCAGGUAGAGAAUACCAAGGCGCUUGAGAGAACUCGGGUGAAGGAACUAGGCAAAAUGGUGCCGUAACUUCGGGAGAAGGCACGCUGGUGUGUAGGUGAAGUCCCUGCGGAUGGAGCUGAGACCAGUCGAAGAUACCAGCUGGCUGCAACUGUUUAUUAAAAACACAGCACUGUGCAAACACGAAAGUGGACGUAUACGGUGUGACGCCUGCCCGGUGCCGGAAGGUUAAUUGAUGGGGUUAUCCGUAAGGAGAAGCUCUUGAUCGAAGCCCCGGUAAACGGCGGCCGUAACUAUAACGGUCCUAAGGUAGCGAAAUUCCUUGUCGGGUAAGUUCCGACCUGCACGAAUGGCGUAAUGAUGGCCAGGCUGUCUCCACCCGAGACUCAGUGAAAUUGAACUCGCUGUGAAGAUGCAGUGUACCCGCGGCAAGACGGAAAGACCCCGUGAACCUUUACUAUAGCUUGACACUGAACAUUGAGCCUUGAUGUGUAGGAUAGGUGGGAGGCUUUGAAGCGUGGACGCCAGUCUGCGUGGAGCCAACCUUGAAAUACCACCCUUUAAUGUUUGAUGUUCUAACGUUGGCCCCUGACCGGGGUUGCGGACAGUGUCUGGUGGGUAGUUUGACUGGGGCGGUCUCCUCCCAAAGCGUAACGGAGGAGCACGAAGGUUAGCUAAUCCUGGUCGGACAUCAGGAGGUUAGUGCAAUGGCAUAAGCUAGCUUGACUGCGAGCGUGACGGCGCGAGCAGGUGCGAAAGCAGGUCAUAGUGAUCCGGUGGUUCUGAAUGGAAGGGCCAUCGCUCAACGGAUAAAAGGUACUCCGGGGAUAACAGGCUGAUACCGCCCAAGAGUUCAUAUCGACGGCGGUGUUUGGCACCUCGAUGUCGGCUCAUCACAUCCUGGGGCUGAAGUAGGUCCCAAGGGUAUGGCUGUUCGCCAUUUAAAGUGGUACGCGAGCUGGGUUUAGAACGUCGUGAGACAGUUCGGUCCCUAUCUGCCGUGGGCGCUGGAGAAUUGAGGGGGGCUGCUCCUAGUACGAGAGGACCGGAGUGGACGCAUCACUGGUGUUCGGGUUGUCAUGCCAAUGGCACUGCCCGGUAGCUAAAUGCGGAAGAGAUAAGUGCUGAAAGCAUCUAAGCACGAAACUUGCCCCGAGAUGAGUUCUCCCUGAGACUAUAAGUCUCCUGAAGGAACGUUAAAGACGAUGACGUUGAUAGGCCGGGUGUGUAAGCGCAGCGAUGCGUUGAGCUAACCGGUACUAAUGAACCGUGAGGCUUAACCUU
rnacentral:rRNA from 1 species